CAUCCCCAUGACAACGCAGGUCUCUGUCCUUGGCAGUCCUGCCCAUGUAAAAUCAUUAGAUUUGUUACUGACUGCUCUUCCAGCGACUCCCCGGGCUUGGCUGUUCAACUGGAGCACAUGACACGGACAAAGGCAGCCUCCAAGGUGGAGUUAUCUGAUGACGCCCUACCUAUAAGAUAUAGAGAUCAGCAUAUCAGGUUGGGAAGAAGGAGGAAGUCGUUGGAAAUUUCGUCUGAAAUCAACGGGGGGAGAUCCUACUGGCUAUAACCCCUGACACAUCCACUACAACUGUUACCACAGCUAGCUGACACAUAAAAGCAUUGUUUGGAUCGGGACAGAUGAGCCUACGUGAGGCGGAAAAGAGGGUUUGGCAGUGCCGGGGCAACUUCACUCUGAACACUGAUGACUGUGCAGAAGUGAGAGGCCCCUCGGGGGAAGU
rnacentral:lncRNA from 1 species